rnacentral:rRNA from 1 species
GAUGAACGCUGGCGGCGUGCUUAACACAUGCAAGUCGAACGGAAAGGCCCAAGCUUGCUUGGGUACUCGAGUGGCGAACGGGUGAGUAACACGUGGGUGAUCUGCCCUGCACUUCGGGAUAAGCCUGGGAAACUGGGUCUAAUACCGGAUAGGACCACUUCUUGGAUGUUGUGGUGGAAAGUUUUUUCGGUGUGGGAUGAGCUCGCGGCCUAUCAGCUUGUUGGUGGGGUAAUGGCCUACCAAGGCGUCGACGGGUAGCCGGCCUGAGAGAGUGUACGGCCACAUUGGGACUGAGAGACGGCCCAGACGCCUACGGGAGGCAGCAGUGGGGAAUAUUGCACAAUGGGCGCAAGCCUGAUGCAGCGACGCCGCGUGGGGGAUGACGGACUUCGGGUUGUAAACUCAGUUCGCUAGGGACGAAGCGUUUUGUGACGGUACCUGGAGAAGAAGCACCGGCUAACUACGUG